GUUGGGUAGGGGAGCGUUCUGUAAGCCUGUGAAGGUGGCCUGUGAGGGUUGCUGGAGGUAUCAGAAGUGCGAAUGCUGACAUAAGUAACGAUAAAGCGGGUGAAAAGCCCGCUCGCCGGAAGACCAAGGGUUCCUGUCCAACGUUAAUCGGGGCAGGGUGAGUCGACCCCUAAGGCGAGGCCGAAAGGCGUAGUCGAUGGGAAACGGGUUAAUAUUCCCGUACUUGGUGUUACUGCGAAGGGGGGACGGAGAAGGCUAUGUUGGCCGGGCGACGGUUGUCCCGGUUUAAGCGUGUAGGUGUGUGUUCCAGGUAAAUCCGGUUCACUUUAACACUGAGGCGUGACGACGAGGCACUACGGUGCUGAAGCAACAAAUGCCCUGCUUCCAGGAAAAGCCUCUAAGCAUCAGGUAACAUCAAAUCGUACCCCAAACCGACACAGGUGGUCAGGUAGAGAAUACCAAGGCGCUUGAGAGAACUCGGGUGAAGGAACUAGGCAAAAUGGUGCCGUAACUUCGGGAGAAGGCACGCUGACACGUAGGUGAAGUGAUUUACUCAUGGAGCUGAAGUCAGUCGAAGAUACCAGCUGGCUGCAACUGUUUAUUAAAAACACAGCACUGUGCAAACACGAAAGUGGACGUAUACGGUGUGACGCCUGCCCGGUGCCGGAAGGUUAAUUGAUGGGGUCAGCGCAAGCGAAGCUCCUGAUCGAAGCCCCGGUAAACGGCGGCCGUAACUAUAACGGUCCUAAGGUAGCGAAAUUCCUUGUCGGGUAAGUUCCGACCUGCACGAAUGGCGUAAUGAUGGCCAGGCUGUCUCCACCCGAGACUCAGUGAAAUUGAACUCGCUGUGAAGAUGCAGUGUACCCGCGGCAAGACGGAAAGACCCCGUGAACCUUUACUAUAGCUUGACACUGAACAUUGAGCCUUGAUGUGUAGGAUAGGUGGGAGGCUUUGAAGUGUGGACGCCAGUCUGCAUGGAGCCGACCUUGAAAUACCACCCUUUAAUGUUUGAUGUUCUAACGUGGACCCGUAAUCCGGGUUGCGGACAGUGUCUGGUGGGUAGUUUGACUGGGGCGGUCUCCUCCUAAAGAGUAACGGAGGAGCACGAAGGUUGGCUAAUCCUGGUCGGACAUCAGGAGGUUAGUGCAAUGGCAUAAGCCAGCUUGACUGCGAGCGUGACGGCGCGAGCAGGUGCGAAAGCAGGUCAUAGUGAUCCGGUGGUUCUGAAUGGAAGGGCCAUCGCUCAACGGAUAAAAGGUACUCCGGGGAUAACAGGCUGAUACCGCCCAAGAGUUCAUAUCGACGGCGGUGUUUGGCACCUCGAUGUCGGCUCAUCACAUCCUGGGGCUGAAGUAGGUCCCAAGGGUAUGGCUGUUCGCCAUUUAAAGUGGUACGCGAGCUGGGUUUAGAACGUCGUGAGACAGUUCGGUCCCUAUCUGCCGUGGGCGCUGGAGAACUGAGGGGGGCUGCUCCUAGUACGAGAGGACCGGAGUGGACGCAUCACUGGUGUUCGGGUUGUCAUGCCAAUGGCACUGCCCGGUAGCUAAAUGCGGAAGAGAUAAGUGCUGAAAGCAUCUAAGCACGAAACUUGCCCCGAGAUGAGUUCUCCCUGAGACUUUAGGUCUCCUGAAGGAACGUUGAAGACGA
rnacentral:rRNA from 1 species